rnacentral:rRNA from 1 species
UACGAAGGGGGCUAGCGUUGCUCGGAAUCACUGGGCUUAAAGGGCGCGUAGGCGGUCGGCAAAGUUAGGGGUGAAAUCUUUCGGCUUAACCGGAAAAGUGCCUUUAAAACUAGUCGACUCGAGCGAGAUAGGGGCAACUGGAACUUCCGGUGGAGCGGUGAAAUGCGUUGAUAUCGGAAGGAACGCCGGUGGCGAAAGCGAGUUGCUGGAUCUCUUCUGACGCUGAGGCGCGAAAGCUAGGGGAGCAAACGGG